GUCUAUGGCCAUACCACCCUGAGCGCGCCCGAUCUCGUCUGAUCUCGGAAGCUAAGCAGGGUCGGGCCUGGUUAGUACUUGGAUGGGAGAAAUCUUACACCAGCAGAAACCACCACAAGAAAGGGACUAAGGUAGGCU
rnacentral:rRNA from 1 species